rnacentral:rRNA from 1 species
GAGGGGCCCCGAGCGUUAUCCAGAUUUAUUGGGCGUAAAGAGCUCAAAGGUGGUUCAUUAAGUUUUUGGGUAAAAAUUUUCAAGCUCAACUUGAAGCUCACCAAAAAUACUGGUGAACUAGAGGACAGAAGAGGCAGGCGGAAUGGCCGGUGUAGCAGUAAAAUGCGUUAAUAUCGGCCAGAACACCAAUGGCGAAGGCAGCCUACUAGUAUGCUCCUGACACUACACGAGCGAAAGCGUGGGUAGCGAAUGGGAUUAGAUACCCCAGUAGUCCACGCCGUAAACGAUGGGCACUAGGUAUUGGAAGUAUCGACCCUUCCAGUAUCGUUUUUAAAGGUAACCCGUUAAGUGCCCCGCCUGGGGAGUACGGUCGCAAAGGCUAA